AUUGAACGCUGGCGGCAGGCCUAACACAUGCAAGUCGAACGAGUGGCGGACGGGUGAGUAAUGUCUGGGAAACUGCCUGAUGGAGGGGGAUAACUACUGGAAACGGUAGCUAAUACCGCAUACCAUCAGAUGUGCCCAGAUGGGAUUAGCUAGUUGGUGGGGUAACGGCUCACCAAGGCGACGAUCCCUAGCUGGUCUGAGAGGAUGACCAGCCAUACUGGAACUGAGAGACGGUCCAGACUCAUAAGGGAGGCAGCAGUGGGGAAUCUUGAACAAUGGCCUCAAGCCUGAUGCGGCCAUGCGGCGUGUAUGAAGAAGGCCUUCGGGUUGCAAAGUACGUUAAGCGGGGAGGCGUUACCCGCAGAAGAAGCACCGGCUAACUCCGUGACAGCAGCCGCGGUAAUAC
rnacentral:rRNA from 1 species